rnacentral:tRNA from 1 species
UCCCUGGUAGCUCAGAUGGUAAAGCGUCUGCCUACAAUGUGGGAGACCCGGGUUCAAUCCCUGGGUCGGGAA